GUGGAUUAGAUACCCUAGUAGUCCACGCCGUAAACGAUGGAUGCUAGAUGUGGUGGGUAUUGACCCCCGCCGUGUCGAAGCUAACGCGUUAAGCAUCCCGCCUGGGGAGUACGGCCGCAAGGCUAAAACUCAAAGGAAUUGACGGGGGCCCGCACAAGCGGUGGAGCAUGCGGUUCAAUUCGACGCAACGCGCAGAACCUUACCUGGGUUAAAUCCGCCAGAAUCCCGCAGAGAUGUAGGAGUGCUCGCAAGAGAGCUGGUGAGAAGGUGCUGCACGGUCGUCGUCAACU
rnacentral:rRNA from 1 species